CGAAUUGCGGUGCCGGAGGCGAGAGCGUGAAACAGCAGCAGGGUCCACGUGGAAAUUUGCCUGAUAUUCGGCUCAACAUUCAAAGACCGAUUCUAGCAGACCAGACUAAUGUGCUGACAAGCGGUAGUUUUGUACCUAUCGAGGCCAAUGUCAUUCAGCGAACCCCCGGACCAAAUCGACUGUCCAAGAAGAAUUUGAAAAGAUUGGCGGGGGUAGUGGUGGCUAUACCCUGUACACCACUGGCCAUAGAACAGCUACAAAUUCCUUAUAAAAAGGCUCGCAAGGAUGCCACACAUAAUGGUUUAACUCCGGAGUCAUAAAUCCGCAAAUUGCGCCACAUGGAGCGGCAUGGACUGAUCCCAAACACCGUGUGAUCGGGGACGUGGAGGUGUAUGUGCAUGAGUCGCCUACAGAGACCGUCACUGUGCAACCGGAUGGGACUAUACAGCACGCCCAUGGAGAUCCCCAGUGUGCGCCACCACCAGAGCUGACCGCCGACGAUUGGACUGGUCUUGACGACAUCUCGUCCUGGACUUCAUCGUUGUUGGAACAUAUCGACUUCACUCCUGCGCAGUGGAUCGACUCUCCAGCUACAUCCGUAGAGGCUACCACCAGUGCAGAGCCUGUACAACACCAUCAGCCUGCAGAUCCUGCAUCUGGACCCCUACAAGCCAUUCAAGACCCUAUCAGCGACCCCCCGUGCACCGUGAGUCCCAUCGCUCAUGAGGUAGCGGUGCCGAGGCUACCAGCCGGUCCCGCAAUUGCUGUUGAUGAACACCAUGCAGGGGUGCAAGGUGAUAAAUGGCGUAAACAAUUUGCUGAUAAACUAGCUGUGUUAACUGCGUCGGUAGAUGUAAACUCCUUAGGCAUUGCUCGUCAGCGUAAACUGGGGGUGGAGGCUGGUAAACGUGUUGACAGUAUAUAUCAGAAGCUCGAAGAACAGACGAAGAAGUCCUUCACGGCUCUCAGGGCCGAGAUUGCGCGUGAUCGUAUGACUGCUGAAUCCCCAAACACUGAGACCAGUAAUGGUCGUGCUAUCGUUGCCCUUCAGCGUAAGCAUUUGGAUGCCGUGGCAGCUGUGCGUGUCAACACGCAGGGCAUAGUGAGAAUUAACGCGCAAGAGGGGUUAAGAGCUGCUAAAACCGCUCGAAAAUUCUGGUUAAUGCAAUCUGCUAGCGAAGCCAGCGUCAAUGCCUAUCGGGCAAUGAGUACCGAGAUGUCUGUGAUUAAUGAAACACUAGCAAAGCUUACGAUGAAUGCUAUUAUUUGAUUUGUGUUUUUGUUUUUUAAUGUUUUUUUCUUUUAUUUCAUGGAGAGGGUAUCUUUUGUUUUAAACUGCAUGUAAUAAAACUUUUUUUCUUUUAAUACCUGACUACUUAACGUUUUUUUUUUUUGUUUUUUUUUUAAAUAUUAUUAUUUAUAUAUAUAUAUAUAUAUAUAUAUUUUUUUUUUUUCUAUCUAUUGGCAUAAAAACUAUAGCUGUACACUAUGCAUAACGCCAUUAGCCCUAGAAAAAGGAAGACGGUAAUCCCAAGAGACGGCGUAGAUCUGAUAGUGGGGGUAGCAUUAUGGAUUUAGAACUUGAAGAGAUGGCAAUGAGGUAUGACGCAACCGGCGAUACGUCUCAUUUGUCGGCCGUAGGACAUGUGGGGGGUGGGGGCAUGUAUGCAGAAGGUUGUUUAGACAUGCGGGAAAUGUGUGUUGGCAUAGAUAGAACUAGGCGUGUGUUAAUUGCAGCUGAUGCAUGGGGGCAUAGCAUGGCUAAUGCUCUAUAUCAGGCAGCACAGAUAAAUGUUUCGAACGAAUCAGGUCUAGAUGAGAUGGUGGGGCUAGAGGCGCCAGGAGAUUUAGACACUAGGGGUGUGUUGUAUGCGGGGGCAAACACACGAAAGGUACUUAACGCUGUCGGGGGGUGGUUGGAUAGUGCACGAGAGUCUAUACAUAUCAGCGCAGAUCGAUGUAUUGCAUGGGUCGCAAUGUGAUGAAGGGAUUGGCGAGGGUUUUCAGGACCCCCCGGCUGUGGCAGGGGUCCCUAUAGAGUCGAAUAUACAGGUCGGUGGGGGCGGUGUGGGGGGUGGUGGCGGUAGUUGCGUGGGGGGC
ensembl:lncRNA